UACGGAGGGUGCAAGCGUUAUCCGGAUUCACUGGGUUUAAAGGGUGCGUAGGUGGGCAGGUAAGUCAGUGGUGAAAAUCUCCGGGCUUAACUCGGAAACUGCCAUUGAUACUAUCUUUCUUGAAUACCGUGGAGGUCAGCGGAAUAUGUCAUGUAGCGGUGAAAUGCUUAGAUAUGACAUAGAACACCAAUUGCGAAGGCAGCUGGCUACACGAAUAUUGACACUGAUGCACGAAAGCGUGGGGAUCAAACAGG
rnacentral:rRNA from 1 species